GGCUCACCUAGGCGACGAUCCCUAGCUGGUCUGAGAGGAUGACCAGCCACACUGGAACUGAGACACGGUCCAGACUCCUACGGGAGGCAGCAGUGGGGAAUAUUGCACAAUGGGCGCAAGCCUGAUGCAGCCAUGCCGCGUGUAUGAAGAAGGCCUUCGGGUUGUAAAGUACUUUCAGCGAGGAGGAAGGCAUUGUGGUUAAUAACCACAGUGAUUGACGUUACUCGCAGAAGAAGCACCGGCUAACUCCGUGCCAGCAGCCGCGGUAAUACGGAGGGUGCAAGCGUUAAUCGGAAUUACUGGGCGUAAAGCGCACGCAGGCGGUCUGUCAAGUCGGAUGUGAAAUCCCCGGGCUCAACCUGGGAACUGCAUUCGAAACUGGCAGGCUAGAGUCUUGUAGAGGGGGGUAGAAUUCCAGGUGUAGCGGUGAAAUGCGUAGAGAUCUGGAGGAAUACCGGUGGCGAAGGCGGCCCCCUGGACAAAGACUGACGCUCAGGUGCGAAAGCGUGGGGAGCAAACAGGAUUAGAU
rnacentral:rRNA from 1 species